rnacentral:rRNA from 1 species
GCAAGUCGAGCGGAAACGAUACCAGCUUGCUGGUAGGCGUCGAGCGGCGGACGGGUGAGUAAUACUUAGGAAUCUACCUAGUAGUGGGGGAUAGCGCGGGGAAACUCGAAUUAAUACCGCAUACGACCUGCGGGAGAGAGGGGGCAGUUUACUGCUCUCGCUAUUAGAUGAGCCUAGGUCGGAUUAGCUAGAUGGUGAGGUAAAGGCCUACCAUGGCGACGAUCUGUAGCUGGUCUGAGAGGAUGAUC